UGGGGAAUUUUGCACAAUGGGGGAAACCCUGAUGCAGCGACGCCGCGUGAUUUAGAAGGCCUUCGGGUUGUAAAAAUCUUUUCUAUGGGAAGAAAAUGACAGUACCACAGGAAUAAGGACCGGCUAAUUACGUGCCAGCAGCCGCGGUAAUACGUAAGGUCCGAGCGUUGUCCGGAAUCAUUGGGCGUAAAGGGUACGUAGGCGGGUAAGCAAGUUAGAAGUGAAAUCCUAUAGCUCAACUAUAGUAAGCUUUUAAAACUGCUCAUCUUGAGGUAUGGAAGGGAGAGUGGAAUUCCUAGUGUAGCGGUGAAGUGAGCAGAUAUUAGGAGGAAUACCGGUGGCGAAGGCGACUUUCUGGCCAUAACCUGACGCUGAGGUACGAAAGCGUGGGUAGCAAACAGG
rnacentral:rRNA from 1 species